GCACUGCCUGUGAGGGAAGGAGAGGGACUAACCUGGGAAAUUUCUAUGAACUUUACCAAAGAAGGUGUUAGCGCCAAUAAAAGUUUUAAAGGUAUUUUCCUUGUAAAUAGAAGAAACCAAAACACAAUGAGCAUUUUGCACUGGUAUUACCCCAUGUAUUCAUUCCAAUGCUGCCUGGGCUUCCCUGCCGACUCGCUGAGUAGAACAACUGGAGAUACGGGGAACAUGAUAAAUCUGUGCUCCUUUCAAACAGUGAGUGAUGAACUCUGACCUGAGACUUCUAGAAGCUGAGCAGCAGACAGGAUUAACACAUGAAACACAGGAUCACCCUGGCUCCAAAAGACGAUGAGAGCAGAGGGAAGAAACCAGAUGUGGACACUAAUUAAGAGGCUAUUAUGUCGUCCUGGCAACAAGAGGUAGAGUCAGCCUGAAUCAAGAAAUGACAAGGAGAAAUGUCCAAGAAAUACAGUGAGAUGGGACAGGCAAUCAGACCUUUGGGACAGACUCAGCUUCUGAUGUGGGUAAGCAUUGUCAUUAACCCCAGUUUGGAGAUCUGUAAACUGAGGCUCUGAAGAGAUACAAACAAGUAGCAAGUAAGUGGCUGAAGCCCAGGCCAGCUCUGUGCUGUUUUCUGCACAGACAUCAUUUGGCUAACUAACACUACUGCCA